AACAAAAACAUGUCCUUUAGAAUAGAAUUUAAGGUCUAACCUGCCCGUUGAGGAAUUAAAUGGCCGCAGUAUUUUGACUGUGCAAAGGUAGCAUAAUCAUUAGUUUUUUAAUUGAAAGCUUGUAUGAAUGGUUGGACGAGAUAUAAACUGUCUUUAAAUUAAUCAUAGAAUUUAAUUUUUAAGUAAAAAAGCUUAAAUAAUUUUAAAAGACGAGAAGACCCUAUAAAUCUUUAUAUUAUUUUUUAUUUGAUUUUUUUGGAUUAUUAAUUAUUAUAUAAAAAAUAUUAUUUUAUUGGGGUAAUAAAAAGAUUAAAAUAAUUCUUUUUUUAUAAAACAAUGAUUAUUGAAUUUUUUGAUCCAUUAUUAGUGAUUAUAAGAUUAAGUUACUUUAGGGAUAACAGCGUAAUUUUUUUAGAGAGUUCUUAUCGAUAAAAAAGUUUGCGACCUCGAUGUUG
rnacentral:rRNA from 1 species